rnacentral:rRNA from 1 species
GACGAACGCUGGCGGCGUGCUUAACACAUGCAAGUCGAGCGGAAAGGCCCUUCGGGGUACUCGAGCGGCGAACGGGUGAGUAACACGUGAGUAACCUCCCCCAGACUUUGGGAUAACCCUCGGAAACGGGGGCUAAUACCGGAUACGACACAGCUUCGCAUGGGGUCUGUGUGGAAAGUUUUUCGGUUUGGGAUGGGCUCGCGGCCUAUCAGCUUGUUGGUGGGGUGAUGGCCUACCAAGGCGACGACGGGUAGCCGGCCUGAGAGGGCGACCGGCCACACUGGGACUGAGACACGGCCCAGACUCCUACGGGAGGCAGCAGUGGGGAAUAUUGCACAAUGGGCGGAAGCCUGAUGCAGCGACGCCGCGUGAGGGAUGACGGCCUUCGGGUUGUAAACCUCUUUCAGCAGGGACGAAGCGUAAGUGACGGUACCUGCAGAAGAAGCGCCGGCCAACUACGUG